UGAAGGGCCGCGGUAUCUUGACCGUGCGAAGGUAGCAUAAUCAUUAGUCUUUUAAUUGGAGGCUUGUAUGAAUGGUUGGACAAAAAGUAAGCUGUCUCAUCUACAAAAUUUGAAUUUAACUUUUAAGUGAAAAGGCUUAAAUAAUUUAGGGGGACGAUAAGACCCUAUAAAGCUUUACAAUAAUCUAAAUAUUCCAAGAUUUGUUAGUCUAAUUUGGGUUAUUUAGAGUUUGUUUCGUUGGGGCGACGAGAAUAUAAAUUAAAUAACUGUUCUUUUCAGUACUACAAUAUUAAUUGAUUAAAAAUUGAUCCUUUAUUAAAGAUUAAAAGAUUAAGUUACUUUAGGGAUAACAGCGUAAUCUUCUUAGAGAGUCCAUAUCGACAAGAAGGGUUGCGACCUCGAUGUUGAAUUAAGGGAUCCUUCUGGUGCAGCAGCUAUAAAGGAA
rnacentral:rRNA from 1 species